rnacentral:rRNA from 1 species
UNUGGAGUAAAAGGCUAUGGCUCAACCAUAGUGUGCUCUGGAAACUNUCUGACUUGAGUGCAGAAGGGGAGAGUGGAAUUCCAUGUGUAGCGGUGAAAUGCGUAGAUAUAUGGAGGAACACCAGUGGCGAAAGCGGCUCUCUGGUCUGUCACUGACGCUGAGGCUCGAAAGCGUGGGUAGCGAACAGGAUUAGAUACCCUGGUAGUCCACGCCGUAAACGAUGAGUGCUAGGUGUUAGGCCCUUUCCGGGGCUUAGUGCCGGAGCUAACGCGAUAAGCACUCCGCCUGGGGAGUACGACCGCAAGGUUGAAACUCAAAGGAAUUGACGGGGGCCCGCACAAGCGGUGGAGCAUGUGGUUUAAUUCGAAGCAACGCGAAGAACCUUACCAGGUCUUGACAUCCCGAUGCUAUUCUUAGAGAUAGGAAGUUACUUCGGUACAUCGGAGACAGGUGGUGCAUGGUUGUCGUCAGCUCGUGUCGUGAGAUGUUGGGUUAAGUCCCGCAACGAGCGCAACCCUUAUUGUUAGUUGCCAUCAUUAAGUUGGGCACUCUAGCGAGACUGCCGGUAAUAAACCGGAGGAAGGUGGGGAUGACGUCAAAUCAUCAUGCCCCUUAUGACCUGGGCUACACACGUGCUACAAUGGUCGGUACAACGAGUUGCGAGCCGGUGACGGCAAGCUAAUCUCUGAAAGCCGAUCUCAGUUCGGAUUGGAGGCUGCAACUCGCCUCCAUGAAGUCGGAAUCGCUAGUAAUCGCGGAUCAGCACGCCGCGGUGAAUACGUUCCCGGGCCUUGUACACACCGCCCGUCACACCACGAGAGUUUGUAACACCCGAAGUCGGUGAGGUAACCUUUUAGGGNCCA